UGUCGUCAGCUCGUGUUGUGAAAUGUUGGGUUAAGUCCCGCAACGAGCGCAACCCUUAUCCUUUGUUGCCAGCGGUCAGGCCGGGAACUCAAAGGAGACUGCCAGUGAUAAACUGGAGGAAGGUGGGGAUGACGUCAAGUCAUCAUGGCCCUUACGACCAGGGCUACACACGUGCUACAAUGGCGCAUACAAAGAGAAGCGACCUCGCGAGAGCAAGCGGACCUCAUAAAGUGCGUCGUAGUCCGGAUUGGAGUCUGCAACUCGACUCCAUGAAGUCGGAAUCGCUAGUAAUCGUGGAUCAGAAUGCCACGGUGAAUACGUUCCCGGGCCUUGUACACACCGCCCGUCACACCAUGGGAGUGGGUUGCAAAAGAAGUAGGUAGCUUAACCUUCGGGAGGGCGCUUACCACUUUGUGAUUCAUGACUGGGGUGAAGUCGUAACAAGGUAACCGUAGGGGAACCUGCGGUUGGAUCACCUCCUUACCUGAAAGAAGC
rnacentral:rRNA from 1 species